AUUGAACGCUGGCGGCAGGCUUAACACAUGCAAGUCGAGCGGAGAUGAGGUGCUUGCACCUUAUCUUAGCGGCGGACGGGUGAGUAAUGCUUAGGAAUCUGCCUAUUAGUGGGGGACAACAUUCCGAAAGGAAUGCUAAUACCGCAUACGUCCUACGGGAGAAAGCAGGGGAUCUUCGGACCUUGCGCUAAUAGAUGAGCCUAAGUCGGAUUAGCUAGUUGGUGGGGUAAAGGCCUACCAAGGCGACGAUCUGUAGCGGGUCUGAGAGGAUGAUCCGCCACACUGGGACUGAAACACGGCCCAGACUCCUACGGGAGGCAGCAGUGAGGAAUAUUGGACAAUGGGGGGAACCCUGAUCCAGCCAUGCCGCGUGUGUGAAGAAGGCCUUAUGGUUGUAAAGCACUUUAAGCGAGGAGGAGGCUACUGAGACUAAUACUCUUGGAUAGUGGACGUUACUCGCAGAAUAAGCACCGGCUAACUCUGUGCCAGCCGCCGCCGUAA
rnacentral:rRNA from 1 species